rnacentral:sRNA from 1 species
CUUGAACCCCUGAGCUCAAGUGAUCCGCCGGCCUCAGCCUCCCACAGUGCUGGGAUCACAGGCAUGAGCCACCACACCUGGCCCGUCUUCACAAUUGUAUCUGCUUCCUGGGUGAUGUGAGGAUGAAACAAAAUAGGAUUUUAAGGGCCCAGGACUUCACACAUCGUAGGGGCCCCUUCCCAGCUGCCUGCCUGCCCUAGCCAGCUCCCAGGUGAAGAGGCUCUCGGCUUCCAGGCGGAAACAGCACUUCAUCAACCAGGCAGUGCGGAACUCAGACCUCGUGCCCAAGGCCAAGGGGCGGAAGAGCCUCCAGCGCCUGGAGAACACCCAGUACCUCCUGACCCUGCUGGAGACAGACGGGGGCCCGCCUGGGCUGGAGGACGGGGACUUGGCACCCCCUGCAUCACCAGGCAUUUUUGCCGAGGCCUGCAACAACGCCACCUACGUGGAGGUCUGGAACGAUUUCAUGAACCGCUCCGGGGAGGAGCAGGAGCGGGUUCUUCGCUACCUGGAGGAUGAGGGCAGGAGCAAGGCGCGGAGGAGGGGCCCUGGCCGGGGGGAGGACCGGAGGAGAGAGGAUCCUGCCUAUACACCCCGCGAGUGCUUCCAGCGCAUCAGCCGGCGUCUGCGAGCCGUCCUGAAGCGCAGCCGCAUCCCCAUGGAAACGCUGGAGACCUGGGAGGAGCGGCUGCUUCGGUUCUUCUCCGUGUCCCCCCAGGCCGUGUACACAGCAAUGCUGGACAACAGCUUCGAGAGGCUCCUGCUGCACGCCGUCUGCCAGUACAUGGACCUCAUCUCGGCCAGUGCCGACCUGGAGGGGAAGCG